GUCUACGGCCAUGCCACUCUGAUCGAGCCCAAUUCCGUCUGAUCUCGGAAGCUAAAUAGGGUCCAGCUUGAUUAGUACUUGGAUAGGAGACCACCUAGGAAGACCAGGUGCUGUAGGUG
rnacentral:rRNA from 1 species